CGAUGAUGCCAGCUUGCUGGUGGAUUAGUGGCGAACGGGUGAGUAACACGUGAGUAACCUGCCCUUGACUCUGGGAUAAGCCUGGGAAACUGGGUCUAAUACCGGAUAUGACCUUCCAUCGCAUGGUGGUUGGUGGAAAGCUUUUGUGGUUUUGGAUGGACUCGCGGCCUAUCAGCUUGUUGGUGGGGUAAUGGCCUACCAAGGCGACGACGGGUAGCCGGCCUGAGAGGGUGACCGGCCACACUGGGACUGAGACACGGCCCAGACUCCUACGGGAGGCAGCAGUGGGGAAUAUUGCACAAUGGGCGCAAGCCUGAUGCAGCGACGCCGCGUGAGGGAUGACGGCCUUCGGGUUGUAAACCUCUUUCAGUAGGGAAGAAGCGUAAGUGACGGUACCUGCAGAAGAAGCGCCGGCUAACUACGUGCCAGCAGCCGCGGUAAUACGUAGGGCGCAAGCGUUAUCCGGAAUUAUUGGGCGUAAAGAGCUCGUAGGCGGUUUGUCGCGUCUGCCGUGAAAGUCCGGGGCUCAACUCCGGAUCUGCGGUGGGUACGGGCAGACUAGAGUGAUGUANGGGAGACUGGAAUUCCUGGUGUAGCGGUGAAAUGCGCAGAUAUCAGGAGGAACACCGAUGGCGAAGGCAGGUCUCUGGGCAUUAACUGAC
rnacentral:rRNA from 1 species